GCUGCUGUGACAACAAUUAGUCAGCUACUGACUGCUGAUCCUCAACAAUUCCCUGAGCAAAGCAAUGCCACCGUAAGACUAACAGGAACCUUGGAAAGGUUUUCAGUAAGUCAGAGUAAUAAUGCAUUAUUGGUGGUUCAGCCCAGACUGGUGGUUCAGUCAACUCAGGUGCGAAGUGACCAGACAGCAGGCAUCCAAUUCAGUGCACUCUCUGGCACAUCAAAUAACUUUACAACAAACAGAAUACAACUG